AUAAAAUCUGCCACUUCCUCCGGCUGACCACUCUGUCAGUGCAGCGAGCCUCAAGCUCCAGAGAACUAAAGAGGAGGAGGUCCAGUGAAGGGGGAGGGAUUAAGAGGAGAGGAGGAGGAGACAGACAGGCAUUUAAAGAGAAGACAGUGAAGCAGAGCGAGACAGAGAGAAGAGAGAAGAGAGGACCAGUCAGAGUGAUACAGAUGAUCAAACUGGAGACUGGUAUUUAAAUAUGGAUUUAAGUUCACUUCAAGCUUUGGAGAGAGAGCGAGUCCUGGAGGUUCUUCGGAGAGACAAACAGCUGCGAAUCAUUGAAGAGGACAGGAUAAGGAGGAUGAAAUAUGAGCUCCAGGAGCUUCGGAGGAGAGGCGCAAAGAGCUUCGCCCGGCAGUACGGCGAGCGGACCUGCGCCCGCUGCCAGAGGCCGCUGGGGAAGUUCUGGAACUCGGGGGCCGUCUGCCACGGCUGCAGCCACCGCAUCUGCAGCAAGUGCCGCGUGGGAGCGGCGAGCUGGAAGUGCACGGUCUGCCACGCCUACAGGGAGGUGAAGUUCAGGUCUGGCGAGUGGUUCUUAGAGGAGAGGGCAAAGAAAUUCCCAGUAACCACAGACAAAUACGAGAUGGUUGGAGAGAAAAUAUUGCAGUCCUACAAUGUGUUGAGUUAUAUAUCCAUUGUGCCUCCCACUCCUCCACCCUACUCGGAUCAGUUCCUGAGCAGAUCUGGGGAUUGGAAAAACUCCAAAACUUUCACCAAAUCUAUGGAGAAUCUAAUGGUUUCCUUCACCAGUCAUAUUAAAAAAAUUUCCACUUCUCAGAACGAUGUGCGAGGAGACUUGCUGAGCGUCAACAACAGCCGGAAGGGGUCGUGCUACAGCACCCAAAAGAGCUUCUCUGAAACUGACAUCAACAAAUCUAGCCAUCUCUUUAAAGGCCCAAGUCUUCCAAACCUGUUCAAGAAAAGCAAAGACAGCGACCAUGAAGGCUCCUCCACCGGGGCGGAAGAAGAAACUUCCUUCGGUUCUGAGUACUCGGGAGGAAAGAGAGGCAGCAACAGUAGCAGCAUCAGCACCGACUGCAGCCUCUUUGAGAGCAUCAGCGUAGCCGGAGAGCUGGAGCUGGCUCUGGCCUACAACACCAACACCUCUUGUCUGGAGGUCACUGUCGGCGCCUGCAGAAAUCUCACCUACGGAGACGCCAAGAAGAAGAAGUGUCACCCAUACGUCAAACUCUACAUGAUGCCGGGAAAGAGCGGCAAAAUGAAGACGACCGUCAAGAAAAACACGACCGAUCCGGUUUAUAAUGAAGUCUUAAAGUAUCGCAUAGAGCGCCACCUGCUGUUUGGAAAGAGACUGCAGGCCGCUGUGUGGCAUUCAGGGUCCCUGAGGAGGACGGCUUUUCUCGGCGAGGUCCUCAUCCCGCUGGACGGCUGGAGAUUUGAGGACAAGGACUCCCAGUGCUUCAACUGGUACCCACUUUGUCCGAAGGCUGAGGGUCCAGCGGGCGGCGCUGUGGAGCCGGACGGAGGAGAGAUGCUGGUCCGAGUGAAGUUCAGCUCCACCAGUCAGGGUGUCUGACUCUGGGAGCAGAGCUCAUCCAGACGACGCCCAUUUCUGAGGGGUGAGACCGGGAUCGGGCCGUCUCUCUGAACCCGGAGCUGUGGCCCCUCCGGCCCCUCAGAGGGACCCCUGAGGAGGGGCUCAAACUGACCCUGGGUCACCAUGGCAACCAGUGCUGGACGCCCUGACAGGUGGGAGUGAUGUCAGCUUCCCGGUUUUCGCCAACGUCAGGAGAAGAUGACGACAUUCAACGUCUCUGCCCAACAGCAGACUCAGCACUUUAACAUGUUCAACAGUGCAGUAUUUAUAUUGUACGAACUGUGAGAUAGUCGUCAUUCUUUCUGUUUAAAAUAGCACAUACGUUUGUUAAGUAAUGCUUUUUAUUUAUUUAUCUGUCAAACUGAAUCACUUUAUGAUUAAACAUAUUUAUAAG